GCGGGUUUAGCUCAGUUGGGAGAGCGUCAGACUGAAGUAAAACUUCACCAUCAAUAUGAAGGUCAUGUGUUCGAUCCACAUAAACCGCA
rnacentral:tRNA from 1 species